rnacentral:lncRNA from 1 species
ACAAACUUGACUAUAGUAUUACAUAGUACAUGUAGCAAGAUCCACUUAACACAUUUCGUAGCCAUCUUUUAACCUAUUCCUGGACCCUCCUAGAUUGUCUGCCUUCUUCUUAUAGCUCUGUGCUCGUCAUCCACCCAUUGCUUUCUGAUGUUGUGCCAUCUGCUUUAGCUCACCGCAUUCUCUGUGCCAUGGGAAUCUUCCAAUCAGCUCCUGUGAGUACUCUCGGGCCAGAAUGCAAUCUCUAUUCCUCAAGUGAUCCUCAUUUGAGAUUGGAGACUGGAUUGUAUUAUCACAAUACUAACAGAGGCUGCCCUCAUUCAGGCCCUAAGCCAGGAGAUCAAGAGCAAGCAAGAUCCAAACUCAAAGGAGCUGCUGAAGGAACACUAAAUCUCUGCUUUCCCAGGCCCACCCUCAUGAUGGAUGGAGGCCAGGUUAUUUGAUCCAAUUAUCUGUGUGUCUCCAUGUUCUCAUCUGAAAAAUAGGUAUAAUAAAAAUAAUGCUUAACUCGUUUAAAAGAUUCCAUUAAAAAGCUUUUAACACAUAGGUACCAAGUCCAUAAAUGUUAACUCCUAUUAUGCUAAUGGCAUGAUGAUGAUGAUGAUGAUGAAGGAGAAGAAGAACAAGAACAAGGACAAAAAGAGAAGGAGAAGGAGGAGGAGGAAGAAGAGGAAGAUUAUGAAGAGGGGCUAGCCAAUUCCUAGUCAGUCAGAAAUUUAGCCAGACUGUAAAUUCCAGGCUGUCAGUUUUUACUCAUUAUUUGUUUUCUCUUCAGUUUCCAGUGCAGUGAAUGGCACAUAGUUGGCACUGCAGAAAUACCGAUAAAUAAAUGGAUAAAUAGGUCUUGCAAUUACCUUUCAGCUGCCCAGAAUUUGGGGAGCAGUAAUCCUUCUCAUUCAUGGGGAAAGAGCCUUCCAUUACUGAAAGGAACAUCCAGAUCCUUUAGCCACCUUUAGAACCAGUAACUAGGUGCACUCUUUGUCAAGUAGCUGCCACUUUUCCUUGAUCUUUAUAUGACACUAGGCAGAACUAAGAUUUAAAUUGACUACUUGUGGAGAACACUGUCUGAAGUCAAUCUCUUGGUUUGAACAAAACCAGCUAGCGUUGUCAGAUCUAGAAAUGUAAAGUGCAGACACAUCCUGCCAGACACUUGUUGGCAGGGGAAGGAUUAAAUAAAUUGCUAUGAUCCAAGAAGCCACUCCCUGUUAACAACCAUCAGAGAAGCCCCACAGCUUCUUAGUACAGGGUGAGCCUCAUUAAACUCCAUGAAGCAAUAGUCACAGAUUCAGGCAAUCAAAAUCUUAGGUUUUUACAACAGAGUGCAAGGAAGGGAUUGUACAUGGGUGGAGAAAACUGUUUCCAAAACUGCCCUCCUAGGCCACCACCUUCUUCCCUAGUUCUCAUCUCUUCUCAUCUAUCUCAGAAUAAGAUGAGAAUUUUAACAACACAGACUGGUCUCAUUGUCCCCAGACUGGAAAUCUCAGAAACUGUGUUUCUAUUCCCUCAUUCCCAGAGAACAAGCAAUAUCACCUCUUUAGACGCCUUAGUUGCCUAAUUUUCCAUGUUGUUUGUUUGUACUAUGGAAACAGAUUUUUAUAGCUGCAAUUAUCCUUAAGAAUAAAUCUGGCCCAUUGAUUUUCAUUCCCUACUCUGUUGAGCUAGUUGAUAAAAAUCUCCUAGGCAGCUCAUUAAAAAUUCAAAUUUCUAAGCCCAAAACUCAGAUUUUAUGAAUUAAUAGUGUUACGAUAAAGCCCAGAUAUCUCUUUCUUUCCUUUCUUUCUUCUUUUCUUUGCUCUUUCUUUUUAAAGUUAUCUUCCCAAAAGAUUCUGAUGCUCUUCUGCCAGGGUUGGAAGUCACAAAUUCUCCAAAUUCUCCUAAUCUUCAGUCUAACACUUGAAUCUUCUCUAUAAUAUUUACAGCAAACGACGAUCAAAUCCAUGUUUGAGAACUACUAGUGAUAGAAGACUUAAGAACAAAAUCAUCUCUUUAGAUAGUUAUCUAAUUCAGUAUAAUUUUAGCCUUUUGUUCUAACUUUAAUCUCCUUGGGACCUUGAAAAGUAAACAUAAUCCCUCUUUCACAUUCUAAGUUUCUUCAUUUGACAUGGCUCUUUGUAUGAGGAUCAAAGGAUUAUGUGUAGUUCAGCCUUUUCCAAAUUAUGUUUCAGAGGACCAUGUUUUAAGAUGUGUUCCAUAAAAAGGGCAAUCAGUUGGCAAAUAAGUGUGCUGCUUGCCAAGAACAUAGGCUACAUUCAGUGGUAGCAAGUCCAUGUUGUACAAGCAAAAACAAGAUGGUAGUCACUCUCACACAUGCAUUAGAAGGGAUUUUCACAUUGGAUGAAAGAAUUGACUAUAUAACUAAAUUAUGCUCUCUGCUCCCUUCAUACUGAUAUUUUUAUUAAAAGAAAUCUCAUAAUUUCUUCUCAUUCAUAUGAUGUACUCCCAUUUGAAACCUCAUAGAAAAGCAGGGAAAAGUGACCAUCCUACAUUUAACCCAACCCUAGUCAUCAAGGGUCAGCCCUAGGUCACACCCAAUCAGGAGGUUUUGCCAAUUAGUCAUUAACUUGAGGGAAGGGCUGGGUCUGUCUACUCCCAAUAUAAUUCACUUAUUUCUCAUCAGUGGCAAUAGAAGAAAGAUUUCACCCUUCUCUUAGUAAAGGCUCAGCAAAUUUCAGACGAAAGAGAAUCAGAAGUCAAAGAGGUCUACACCUACCCUUUUCCAGACACUUGGGAAUCUGACCUAAUUUUGUUUUAUACAUUGUAUAAGCCUUUUGGUAGCCUUAAUGAAAUAGUUUCAAAUUUUACACAUAUAUAUCAACCGGCUAUAUCAACCAUUUCUAAUCUCUCAUAAAUAUUCCAGUCCUAUCACAACUGAUUACAUAUUUUACAUAGUUGUAAUCACAGUACAUAUAUAAUUUUGUGUUCUGUAUUUCAUAUAUAUUGCAUAUAUCUUUUAUAUUCUUAUGUUAUUCAUAUUUAUAAUAAAAUAUAUAUCCAGAGGGCUUACCUUAUGAUCCUUAAUAUUUCUACAACUUUGUAAUUUAAGGUUACUGUAAAUUUAUGAUACAGUGUGAAAAUAAACUCUUAUACAGAAAU